rnacentral:rRNA from 1 species
GAUGAACGCUGGCGGCGUGCCUAAUACAUGCAAGUCGAGCGAACAGACGAGGCGCUUGCCCGUCUGACGUGAGCGACGGGCGGGUGAGUAACACGUGGAUAACCUGCCUAUAAGACUGGCGUCACUUCGGGAGACCGGAGAUAAUACCCGAUAAGAUAGUGAACCGCAUGGUUCAUUAGAGAAAGAGGUAUUUGCUGACCCUUAUACAUGGUUCCGCGCCGCAUUAGCUAGUUGGUAAGGUAACGGCUUACCAAGGCAACGAUGCGUAGCCGACCUGAGAGGGUGAUCAGCCACACUGGAACUGAGACACGGUCCAGACUCCUACGGGAGGCAGCAGUAGGGAAUCUUCCACAAUGGGCGAAAGCUUGACGGAGCAACGCCGCGUGAGUGAUGAAGGUCUUCGGAUCGUAAAACUCUGUUAUUAGGGAAGAACAAAUGUGUAUGUAAAUCUGCACGUCUUGACGGUACCUAAUCAGAAAGCCACGGCUAACUACGUG